UUUCUAUCUGAAACAUCCACUUCAUUUUUGUUCCCUUUUCUCUCUUCUUUCUUUCAUCGUCACUGUCUUUCUUACGAUGGUAGGUAGAUAGAUAUCUGGGGUCGUCGUGCGUGCGUGGCUUCCUCUUUUCUUCAGCUAGCGUGCCAUCUUUGACUUCCUACCUACUCAUUUUUUGUUUCAACCAACCGACCAAGCUAUGGAUUUACCUACUCUCAAGUCAUCCAUUGGAAACCAGGCCUAGGGAAUACAGGCUCACAUUUGAAAUUCAUUCCACAUUAUGAUGGCUUUUGUUGGCUAUGAAAAGGUGAUUGUUCGAGUUCUCGGUUGGGGAGGAUGAUCGACAGGUUAGUUUUGUAUUAGUUUGAGUUGGUGGUUUUUAAUAAAAAUAAUACUGAGUGCAACACUAUUGCUUUCAAUUAGUGGCUCACAUUAUACACAAUAAUGUAUAAUAUAUGAAGAAUAUUAUAACAUUUUUUUUUAUCUAUGUACCGUUAGAAGGAUAACACAGAACAUAAGAUUGUGUCAAUUU